UACGGAAGGCAGCAGUGGGGAAUAUUGCACAAUGGGCGAAAGCCUGAUGCAGCUAUGCCGCGUGUAUGAAGAAGGCCUUAGGGUUGUAAAGUACUUUCAUCGGGGAGGAAAAACAAAACUAAUAAUUUUAUUUCUUGACGUUACCCGAAAAAGAAGCACCGGCUAACUCCGUGCCAGCAGCCGCGGUAAUACGGAGGGUGCUAGCGUUAAUCAGAAUUACUGGGCGUAAAGAGCACGUAGGUGGUUUUUUUAAGUCAGAUGUGAAAUCCCUGGGCUUAACCUGGAACUGCAUUUUGAAACUGAAAUACUAGAGUAUCGUAGAGGGAGGUAGAAUUCUAGGUGUAGCGGUGAAAUGCGUAGAUAUCUGGAGGAAUACCUGUGGCGAAAGCGGCCUCCUAAACGAAUACUGACACUGAGGUGCGAAAGCGUGGGGAGCGAAACAGGGAUUAGAUACC
rnacentral:rRNA from 1 species